rnacentral:rRNA from 1 species
UGGGGAAUAUUGGACAAUGGGCGAAAGCCUGAUCCAGCAAUUCCGCGUGGGUGAAGAAGGUCUUCGGAUUGUAAAGCCCUUUCGUUGGGGACGAUGAUGACGGUACCCAAAGAAGAAGCCCCGGCUAACUUCGUGCCAGCAGCCGCGGUAAUACGAAGGGGGCUAGCGUUGCUCGGAAUGACUGGGCGUAAAGGGCGCGUAGGCGGCGUUCCAAGUCAGGCGUGAAAUUCCUGGGCUUAACCUGGGGGCUGCGCUUGAGACUGGGGUGCUUGAGGAUGGAAGAGGCUCGUGGAAUUCCCAGUGUAGAGGUGAAAUUCGUAGAUAUUGGGAAGAACACCGGUGGCGAAGGCGGCGAGCUGGUCCAUUUCUGACGCUGAGGCGCGAAAGCGUGGGGAGCAAA